rnacentral:rRNA from 1 species
AAAUGAAUAGACGGGGGCCCGCACAAGCAGCGGAGCAUGUGGUUUAAUUCGAAGCAACGCGAAGAACCUUACCUAGACUUGACAUCUCCUGAAUUACCCGUAACUGGGGAAGCUCUUCGGAGCAGGAAGACAGGUGGUGCAUGGUUGUCGUCAGCUCGUGUCGUGAGAUGUUGGGUUAAGUCCCGUAACGAGCGCAACCCUUAUUUUUAGUUGCUACCAUUAAGUUGAGCACUCUAAAGAGACUGCCCGGGUUAACCGGGAGGAAGGUGGGGAUGACGUCAAAUCAUCAUGCCCCUUAUGUCUAGGGCAACACACGUGCUACAAUGGUGAGAACAAAGAGACGCAAAAUCGCAAGGUCAAGCAAAUCUCAUAAAACUCAUCCCAGUUCGGAUUGCAGGCUGAAACUCGCCUGCAUGAAGUCGGAGUUGCUAGUAAUCGCGAAUCAGAAUGUCGCGGUGAAUACGUUCCCGGGCCUUGUACACACCGCCCGU